rnacentral:lncRNA from 12 species
CAAAAAUAAAAUGCGUAGUCACGGAUGUGCAGCACCCCCAAAUCAAAUUUAGAAGAUCAUUGGGGACCUCUCCAGUUUCUGCACAGCCUCCACAGCCUCUCCCAAGCUGAGCUCAGCUCAGGCACAGACCCCAAGUAUGACCCAUCUUCCCCUCUCUUCCAGAUUCAGACUUUCCUCAAGUUUAGGGACAGCAUCAUCUGGCCAAGCCCAGCCAGAACUCUGGAAGGCAGAUGCGGAUCUGCCUAAAGAAAUUCUGCAAGAUUUGGAGCCCUGAUCUUCUGCAAGGAAAUUUUUCCUUUCCAGGCAAAAGUGAAUCCUGCGCCUUUUUCAGUGUCAUUUCAGCUGGAGCCUGAGAACACGGUGACUUGCAGAAGCAACAAUCAAAGCUGGCUACAACUUGACUGCCCUGCCUUGGCAAACACCUGGUUCAAUUCAUUCUUUGUUGCCAUCCUGGCAACAAACCAACCUGUCAUGGCUCUUUGUGUACAUUUGUACUUGUUUUAUUGAGGAUUAAUUAGUGUUUGUCUAGUGACACAGCUGUCUGGUGCUCCAUGGACACAGCUGAAGGCAAAGGCCUUCGGGCUGUGCUGUGGUUUCCUAAUUCCUGUGUUAUGGCUACUGUAAUGCAUAUCCUCGAAGUGAAACAAAGAUUUCUGACUGAUUUAUGACUUUUGACUGCCAGUUUUCAGUCUUGUGCUAGAGGAAGAAGAUGCAAUAUCAAAACCAAGCUCCGUUACUUGAAGAGUUAUUUCAAGUCCCCUGUUGAUCACUUGAGGCUCUUGCACAUGCUAUGAAAUUCACCAAAAGUAGUCUCAUGGAGCCUUGAUCCUCUAUGCCUUGGAGAACACCAUCCCACAUUCUCUCUCCAUGUUCCUCUCACUGAUUUUACCCUGCCAUGAAUCACAGGGCUCCUCAUCCCAGCAUACACAGUGCUGCAGGCAUGCCAGGCUGUGUCAAACACAGCACAGGUCCCAGCCCAAGGUGCUUGCUUUCACUCAAAUUACACAUUUCAUAACUCGCUUG